UACAGAGGGGGCAAGCGUUGUUCGGAAUUACUGGGCGUAAAGCGCGCGCAGGCGGCUCGGAAAGUCGGGUGUGAAAACUCGGGGCUCAACCCCGGGCGUGCAUCCGAUACUGCCGGGCUUGAGGCAGGUAGGGGAGAUCGGAAUUCCUGGUGUAGCGGUGAAAUGCGCAGAUAUCAGGAGGAACACCGGUGGCGAAGGCGGAUCUCUGGGCCUGUCCUGACGCUGAGGCGCGAAAGCUAGGGGAGCGAACAGG
rnacentral:rRNA from 1 species